rnacentral:rRNA from 1 species
ACGGGAAGAGCCCAAACCAACAAGCUUGCUUGUUGGGGUUGUAGGACACUCUAUACGGAGUUACAAAGGACGACAUUAGACGAAUCAUCUGGAAAGAUGAAUCAAAGAAGGUAAUAAUCCUGUAGUCGAAAAUGUUGUCUCUCUUGAGUGGAUCCUGAGUACGACGGAGCACGUGAAAUUCCGUCGGAAUCUGGGAGGACCAUCUCCUAAGGCUAAAUACUCUCUAGUGACCGAUAGUGAACCAGUACCGUGAGGGAAAGGUGAAAAGCACCCCGGAAGGGGAGUGAAAUAGAACCUGAAACCGUGUGCUUACAAGUAGUCAGAGCCCGUUAAUGGGUGAUGGCGUGCCUUUUGUAGAAUGAACCGGCGAGUUACGAUUUGAUGCAAGGUUAAGCAGUAAAUGUGGAGCCGUAGCGAAAGCGAGUCUGAAUAGGGCGUUUAGUAUUUGGUCGUAGACCCGAAACCAGGUGAUCUACCCUUGGUCAGGUUGAAGUUCAGGUAACACUGAAUGGAGGACCGAACCGACUUACGUUGAAAAGUGAGCGGAUGAACUGAGGGUAGCGGAGAAAUUCCAAUCGAACCUGGAGAUAGCUGGUUCUCUCCGAAAUAGCUUUAGGGCUAGCCUCAAGUGAUGAUUAUUGGAGGUAGAGCACUGUUUGGACGAGGGGCCCCUCUCGGGUUACCGAAUUCAGACAAACUCCGAAUGCCAAUUAAUUUAACUUGGGAGUCAGAACAUGGGUGAUAAGGUCCGUGUUCGAAAGGGAAACAGCCCAGACCACCAGCUAAGGUCCCAAAAUAUAUGUUAAGUGGAAAAGGAUGUGGCGUUGCCCAGACAACUAGGAUGUUGGCUUAGAAGCAGCCAUCAUUUAAAGAGUGCGUAAUAGCUCACUAGUCGAGUGACACUGCGCCGAAAAUGUACCGGGGCUAAACAUAUUACCGAAGCUGUGGAUUGUCCUUUGGACAAUG